ACGACUCUCGGCAACGGAUAUCUCGGCUCUCGCAUCGAUGAAGAACGUAGCGAAAUGCGAUACUUGGUGUGAAUUGCAGAAUCCCGUGAACCAUCGAGUCUUUGAACGCAAGUUGCGCCCGAAGCCUUCUGGCCGAGGGCACGCCUGCCUGGGCGUCACGCAA
rnacentral:rRNA from 1 species